GGUGGCUCAGUGGUAGAGCACUUGCCUUGCAUGCACAAGACCCUGGGUUCGAUUCCUCAGCACCA
rnacentral:tRNA from 1 species